rnacentral:rRNA from 1 species
AUUGAACGCUGGCGGCAGGCCUAACACAUGCAAGUCGAGCGAGCGGCGGACGGGUUAGUAAUGUAUGGGGAUCUGCCCGAUGGAGGGGGAUAACUACUGGAAACGGUGGCUACUACCGCAUACUAUCGUCUGGUACCAUUUGGGAUGAGCUAGUAGGUGGGGUAAAGGCUACCCACGGCGACGAUCUCUAACUGGUCUGAGAGGAUGAUCAGUCACACUGGAACUGAGACACGGCCCAGACUCCUACGGGAGGCAGCAGUGGGGAAUAUUGGACAAUGGGCGCAAGCCUGAUGCAGCCAUGCCGCGUGUAUGAAGAAGGCCUUCGGGUUGUAAAGUACUUUCAGCGGGGAGGCGUUACCCGCAGAAGAAGCACCGGCUAACUCCGUGCCAGCAGCCGCGGUAAUAC